UACCUCGUCCUUGAUUACUUGGUUUUUCCCCGCCUCCCACACCCUGAAGAAGCUACUCACCUGUCUCAGUUCCACGUUAACUGCUGCUGCACACUCACUCCAAAUCUGGCAGGUCGUCGACUGCUGCGUGUCGCCACCAGUGUCUCUCCUUCUUUCAAAGUGUGAAGCUCUCACCUCUGAGGACUCUGGUUGACCAGGAUCUGGUGAAGUUGACUCCCUCACUCACCAGCCACACAACUCCAGCUGCUGCUCCACCAAGUUGACUCCCUCACUCACCAGCCACACAACUCCAGCUGCUGCUCCACCAAGUUGACUCCCUCACUCACCAGCCACACAACUCCAGCUGCUGCUCCACCAAGUUGACUCCCUCACUCACCAGCCACACAACACCAGCUGCUGCUCCACCAAGUUGACUCCCUCACUCACCAGCCACACAACACCAGCUGCUGCUCCACCAAGUUGACUCCCUCACUCACCAGCUACACAACACCACUGCUGCUCCACCAAAUUGACUCCCUCACUCACCAGCCACACAACACCAGCUGCUGCUCCACCAAGUUGACUCCCUCACUCACCAGCCACAACAACACCAGCUGCUGCUCCACCAAGUUGACUCCCUCACUCACCACCACACAACACCAGCUGCUGCUCCACCAAGUUGACUCCCUCACUCACCAGCCACACAACACCAGCUGCUGCUCCACCAAGUUGACUCCCUCACUCACCAGCCACACAACACCAGCUGCUGCUCCACCAAGUUGACUCCCUCACUCACUAGCCACACAACACCAGCUGCUGCUCCACCAAGUUGACUCCCUCACUCACCAGCCACACAACACCAGCUGCUGCUCCACCAAGUUGACUCCCUCACUCACCAGCCACACACAACUCCAGCUACACAACACCAGCUACACAACACCAGCUACACAACACCAGCUACACAACACCAGCUACACAACACCAGCUACACAACACCAGCUACACAACACCAGCUACACAACACCAGCUACACAACACCAGCCACACACAACACCAGCUACACAACACCAGCUACACAACACCAGCUACACAACACCAGCUACACAACACCAGCUACACAACACCAGCUACACAACACCAGCUACACAACACCAUGAAAUACACGCUGCUGAUAAUGCUGCUGCUGCUGCUGCUGUGUCUUCAGCUGACACUUGCUGAUCCUCAGUUCGGGGGAGGUGCAGGAGUCUUCAUCGGUAGAUUUGUACGUAGAAAUAAGGUACAGCGCCAGCGCAGUGACCGCAAACAAGCCAGACUACUGCCGUACUACCAGUAUGCUUCAGGAGUUCCCUAUCCUUAUCCCUGUUAAUAUCAAGGUUAACGAGAGCAUCAGAAGAAGAUAAACUAGUAUGUAACCAUCAUUAUAGUGAGAAUGUACCUCAGAUCAGCGUGGUACUCUCCAUGGUACCAUAACGUCACUCAAACCAUGAUGGUACCAUACUCUACUUGCUGCAGUAUUAACAAGGGCAUUACCAAGAGAUACAGUCCAGGCACAUCCUUCAUGUGUUAAACUCGUAUGGGUCUCAGAGAUGACUGCUGAAGUAACCGUACAGGUUUAACAGAUUUUAAAUAAUAAUAGAAAAUAAGAUUGGGUUCCUUCAGACUGUGACAGUUACAUAACGAAUGUUCUUAAUAACUGUUCCACUUUUAUUGUGGCCAAACUGUUACGUUAUCACAUUCCUAUGUGAUCUUCGUUACGUAGAUAUUAGGUACUUACUCUGUUGCUAGCAAGGAUUCGAUACUGCGUCAUCAUGCCCAGCCCAAUGAGAACAGGACA